AGCCAUUGAUGAAAAAACAAUCACUUUUCUGACACCUCUUAUGAGAGCAUAGCUCCUGAUUCUACUUGUGGUCUGAGGCUC